rnacentral:rRNA from 1 species
CGAGCGGUAGAGAGAAGCUUGCUUCUCUUGAGAGCGGCGGACGGGUGAGUAAUGCCUAGGAAUCUGCCUGGUAGUGGGGGAUAACGUUCGGAAACGGACGCUAAUACCGCAUACGUCCUACGGGAGAAAGCAGGGGACCUUCGGGCCUUGCGCUAUCAGAUGAGCCUAGGUCGGAUUAGCUAGUUGGUGGGGUAAUGGCUCACCAAGGCGACGAUCCGUAACUGGUCUGAGAGGAUGAUCAGUCACACUGGAACUGAGACACGGUCCAGACUCCUACGGGAGGCAGCAGUGGGGAAUAUUGGACAAUGGGCGAAAGCCUGAUCCAGCCAUGCCGCGUGUGUGAAGAAGGUCUUCGGAUUGUAAAGCACUUUAAGUUGGGAGGAAGGGCAGUUGCCUAAUACGUAACUGUUUUGACGUUACCGACAGAAUAAGCACCGGCUAACUCUGUGCCAGCAGCCGCGGUAAUACAGAGGGUGCAAGCGUUAAUCGGAAUUACUGGGCGUAAAGCGCGCGUAGGUGGUUUGUUAAGUUGGAUGUGAAAUCCCCGGGCUCAACCUGGGAACUGCAUUCAAAACUGACUGACUAGAGUAUGGUAGAGGGUGGUGGAAUUUCCUGUGUAGCGGUGAAAUGCGUAGAUAUAGGAAGGAACACCAGUGGCGAAGGCGACCACCUGGACUAAUACUGACACUGAGGUGCGAAAGCGUGGGGAGCAAACAGGAUUAGAUACCCUGGUAGUCCACGCCGUAAACG